CAAGGAAUUUUCCGCAAUGGGCGCAAGCCUGACGGAGCAACGCCGCGUGCGGGAUGACGCCCUUCGGGGUGUAAACCGCUUUUCGGGGGGACGAAGGCAGUGACGGUACCCCCGGAAGAAGGCCCGGCUAACUACGUGCCAGCAGCCGCGGUAAGACGUAGGGGCCGAGCGUUGUCCGGAGUUACUGGGCGUAAAGGGCGCGCAGGCGGCCGGUCGCAUCGGCGGUGAAAGCCCCCCGCUCAACGGGGGAGGGUCCGUCGAGAUGGAUCGGCUGGAGGCAGGGAGAGGGCGGUGGAAUUCCGGGUGUAGUGGUGAAAUGCGUAGAGAUCCGGAGGAACACCAGUGGCGAAGGCGGCCGCCUGGACCUGACCUGACGCUGAGGCGCGAAGGCGUGGGGAGCGAACGGG
rnacentral:rRNA from 1 species